GAACGAGAAAGUGGAGCAAUCCAUGAGUAUAGUGGCGACCGGGUGAGUAACACGUGACUAACCUGCCCUUGAGUGGGGGAUAACCUCGGGAAACCGGGGCUAAUACCGCAUAACAUCUUCAGGAUGAGAAGCUGGGGAUCAAAGGAGCAAUCCGCUUAUGGAGGGGGUCGCGGCUGAUUAGCUAGUUGGCGGGGUAACGGCCCACCAAGGCGAUGAUCGGUAUCCGGCCUGAGAGGGCGCACGGACACACUGGAACUGAAACACGGUCCAGACUCCUACGGGAGGCAGCAGUGGGGAAUUUUGCGCAAUGGGGGAAACCCUGACGCAGCAACGCCGCGUGGAGGAUGAAGUCCCUUGGGACGUAAACUCCUUUCGACCGGGACGAUUAUGACGGUACCGGUGGAAGAAGCCCCGGCUAACUUCGUG
rnacentral:rRNA from 1 species